GCAGUCCUGGCGUGCGGCCCACUAAAACGGUCUCGGAGGGUAUAUGAGAAGGGAGCAAAUCCGGCCGAGCCUGAAAGGGUGAGGACAAACCGGGCGAGCAACCUCUCAGUAUCAGAUCUUGCAGACUUCCACUGCGUGUCCCUCUGUACAGCUUUGCAGGCUCCGGCCUCGGCAGCGGGGGGUUCAUAGUGGUCGUCGACCUCCACGAAACUGCACGCUCCGGCGUGACAGCGUACUGGGGAUGCCUGUGUAGAUGCAGUCCGGGCUUGCCUGGACCGCUAGCAGAUGGGCUCUGUGGAUGACUGGCCGCUGGCUAGACCUGAAACCUGAGCAACGGGAGGUAACCUCUCGCCGCGGACACCGGAAUGGUAGAAGCGGCGUGCUGCGUCCUCCUCUUGGGGCCCCUAAGCCACACCUCCCACAGCGGGUUCGGUGCGGCGGACGGACGCCCUGGGGAAUUUAGAGGGGGAAAGCGGAUUGCCCUAGCGGUGUUGUUGGCCCUGCCGACCUCACUGCGAAAGGCGCGACUUCACCGUCGCCACCCAGUAACUGUCUCUCCGG
rnacentral:misc_RNA from 1 species